rnacentral:rRNA from 1 species
GAGUGAAGAGGGAAGAGCUCAUCAUUGGAAUCUGGCAGCGUUGCGCUGUCCGAGUUGUAGAUGAGAAGAGUAGGACAUCUGGACUGCAUGGUGUCCAAGUACAAUAGGCCGUCAGUGGGACAUCAUAGAGGGUGACAAUCCCGUCCUUGACACCAAUGUACGAGUCCUUUACGAUGCCUAUCUCGGAGAGUCGAGCAGUUUGGGAUUUGCUGCUUAAACACGGGAGGUAGAUUCCUUCCAAAGCUAAAUACAGGCAAGAGACCGAUAGUGAACAAGUACCGCAAGGGAAAGAUGAAAUAGAACUCUGUGAAGGGAGUCAAAAAGACGUGAAAUUGUUGCGAGAGAAGCGAUUCAAGUCAGCGUAGCUGGGCCCAUCAAGCCUCGCGCUUUGGACCAGCUUUGCCAGCGGUCUUGUCCCCAGAGACUUGACUAAGGUGCCCUGCCCGGUCUAACGGACAGACCUCCCCGCUGGGGAGGCCAGUGGCAUGGCUGGUGGAAUGGCUUGCAAUCGACCCGUCU